CUGCUGCCCACGAGGGAGUUGUGCUGUCUCCCCAUCUGAUAGCAAUUCGAAGCCACUUCUGGCUUUGAAAAGGCUCUUGUGGUAGCCAAAACAUUGCCAGUUCACUCCAAUAAAGUCUGCAUUUUGGACAUCCUGUGUACGCCCGGACAUCAGUUCUCUAAAUUUGGUAUAUUUUAAGGGAUUGGUAGUCUACCUGGUUCGUUUGGCAUCACAGUGCGGAUCUUCUAAGGAAUAUAGGUGUGCUAUUCAUUCACAUACUUAGAAUGUCAGCUGACAGCUCUCGGACAAUAAAUAAGCCCCUAUGCACAGAAUCAGCAUUCACAAGCCUGGACCUCUCUUUCCAAGCUGGCUAAUGAAAGUGGCUGAGUUGUAUCUCCAGCAGCAACAAUAGAUAUCGUUGUAUGAGCAAUGUUUCAUACUGAAAUGAUUCACAUAAAGGGUCCUUGCACCAGGACCACUUCAAAGCACCGCAUUAGGCAUGGUGCUGUAGUAAAUGUUUAAUGUACAUUAUAAGGCCCAUUUUAUCAAAUCAAUAAUGGCAAAACCAGUACUGAAAAUAUCAGAACAUUACUUUGAAAUGGAAUGUUUGGAAAAUUAAGCAGAAGAAAACAAAAUCUCUCCUUUCCCCCAAAUCACUUUCAUUUCGUCUUUAUU